AGACAACUGACGCUGCUGUCUGGAACCUUCUCUACUUAACAGGCUUUCUGGUCGUGAAGAAACAAUGAAUAUUUUGUGUGUAUCGAUAUUUUUAGCGUGGCUACCCAAUGCCUUCAGUGCACGGGUAGAACAGACACCAAGAGAAGCAACAAAACAACCAGGCGAAACUCUGACCAUCAACUGUGUUUUAAAAGAUACUUCCUAUGACCUGUGUAGCACAUAUUGGUACCGCCAAAGGCCGGGUCAAAGCAAUAGGGAAAGCUUAUCGAUUGGAGGACGAUAUGCGGAAACUGUCAACAAGCCAACAAAGACCUUUUCCCUGAAGAUCAGGAAUCUAAUACCCGAAGACACAGCCACAUAUUUCUGCAACGCUUACUACGCCACAGUAACGAAACUGAGCACAAGCCAAUUCAAAUACGUUUGAAAAUCUUUCACGCAAGAAACUGUUAUUGCUUCGGUCCUGUGGAAAAGAAAAUUGCUGAGCAGUAAUGGAUUCCACCGUAGAGCGAGGGUUGGUUUAUAAAAAGUUAGCGACAGUCACUAUGCCGCAUAUAUCCAAGUGGGCACCGUUGGAGGUGCAGCGUCACUCUCCUUCCAGAGUUAUGCAAAUGGCGACUUUAUUGCUAUUGAAUCAACCACUGUGCCAGUAUAUACUGUCACAGUGAUCCAAAACACGGACUCUGCAAUUCAAAAAACACCAAUGCAUUUGGUAAUUGGAGAAAGGACAAUGCUAACCUAUUUCUGAACCGUACAAUGCAGACACUAUUUUCGAAGGAUUAUUGGUCAUAAAAGUAGUUGUACGGAAUAUAAACGGUGUUCAGCAAGAUUGUAAUUUGCGCCUUGACCUCAUGAUCUUGUAUUGAUGUACAAGGAACCUUUUAGUAUUAGUAUCAAUGACUGUGUGUGUGGGGAUGUCACAGUGAUGAAUCUUCAAUUCCCGUCAUACGUAAAUCUCCUCCACAGUUCUUUAUGCAAAACUAAUGCAAGACAUUCAUUCAGCGACUAAAACUUUUCACUCCCAAACAUUCUACCUCUGCCAGACACUGGUACGCAUAAUGGAGCCUUCCUCUAUAUAUUUGUGUAAUUGUAGUGCAAAUGCUAUAAUCAUAUUAAUAACAAAGCUUUGAUAUUUUCCUUAAUAUCUGCCUGGCUGGGAGUUAUUUCGACGGAAGCGAAUAAAACCAUUUCAUUCAUGUCCAGUGCCCUCAUUUCAUGGAGGUAUAGGAUUACUUGACGGACUUAUACACUAUUUACAACAGUGAGGUUAUUGUACUCAAGUGAAAUGAUGUGCCUGUACUAUGCCACAGUGGUCUAGGCCAUAGCACAAACCUCCGGAAAAGUUUUAUUUUAUUCGUUGAUUUGUAAAUGGGAUUACAAACUGUACCUUUACAUUCAUGGAUGUUGCUCGACAUAAUUUGGAAAAAAAAACUUCUUCUUUGGGUUGAAUUCUACCCAGAUUCCUUGGUUCUCAAUUAUCAAAAUUCCUGUUUCAAUAUCACAUGCCCUUAUAAUGCGCCAAACAAACACAAGGGCGGAGGAAAACUGAAAGAAAUUGAGACCCAUUGACAACUUGAAUAUAUUGUUAAGCCUUUUGUUCCAGUCUUAUUCUGGAAGACCUACCUCUAUAAUUCACUUUUAAUGAUUACUUUCUGUACUGGGAUGUAUUGGAAGUAAAUUAUUGUGUGACGAAUACGGAGGUGGCACAAAGCUGACUGUGAAAGCUGCAAGGCAACCGAUAGCACCAAAUAUCAAUCUUGUCUAUUCUGCAACUGACGAAAAAAAGGCACGGGGUUCUGUGGAAUUGAUUUGUGUCAUGAGCGAAUACCUACCUGAAAACAUCGCAGUGAGCUGGCAGAAAAACGGACAAGCUGUACGGUCCGGCUUUACCACCAGUCCUCCGGCUAAAACAUCAGACGAAACGUUUACGUCAACAAGUGUGCUCAAAGUGCCUGUGAACGAAUGGGCCAGUGGUGCUGUGUACUCGUGCCAAGUAUCCCACUCUGCAACCAGCAGCAACAUCCACAAAGAAAUACGAGCUGAGUCAGGUUUCGCAUUAUUUCUCAGAGAUCCUACCGUUGAAGAAAUGUGGAUAAACAAAACUGCCACACUGGUGUGUGAAGUGAUCGCUACAACUCCAGCUGAGGUUUCCAUCUCUUGGACAGUGGGUGGGAAGGAAAGAGCUGAUGGUGUUCAAACAGAACAAGCAGCAAAGAUCGGGAGUCAGUACUUGACAGUCGGCCGUUUGACCAGCAGCGUGGCCGAGUGGGACAGCGGGGUAGAAUACUCCUGCUCGGUGCAGGACAAUCAAUCAGCUGCUCCCCUAUCAAAAAGGACACAAAACGCAAAAGUCAAAGCAGUGGAACCAAGGGUACGCCUCUUGCCCCCGUCUCCAGAGGAGAUUAAAACUGCGGGUAUCGUUACGCUCACAUGCACGAUAACGGGAUUCUACCCCGAUGACAUAACCGUUUUGUGGCAGAAGGACGGAGCCGCAUUCUACUCGAACGCUACCAGCUUCCCCACUGCACUUCAACAGGACAUGACCUUCAACACCAGAAGCCUCCUUUACUUGACUUCAGCCGAUUGGAAGAAGGACGCAACAUACUCCUGUGUCGUCACGCACCCACCUUCACAAUCUACUGUGAAAGCAAACAUCAGCACCCCGAAAGAAUGCCGUGAGGCUGAUAUUAAUGUCAUCAUAAAAAAGCCUUCGUUUGAAGAGAUUUGGACAAUUCGGAGAGCAACAAUUGUGUGCGAAGUGGUUUACGCAGAUUUGCAGAAUGUCAUAGUCUCCUGGCGAGUAAAUGGAAGUCGGAGAGUGAACGGAGUGGAGACACACGGUCCAGAGUGGAGGGGAAGUAAAUCCGUCAUCGUCACCAAACUGAAGGUCAGUGUAGAGGAAUGGAACAGUGGAACCGAAUACCUGUGCUUCGUAGAAGGCCGUGAUCUGCCAACACCAGUGACAAAGGCCACCAAAAAAACCAAGGUUACUGAAAUGCACAGCCCUAAAGCUUACCUCUUGUACCCAUCAGCUGAGGAGAUUCAAGCCGAGGAAGCAGCUACCCUAAUUUGCCUCGCGACCGGUUUUUAUCCGGAAGAUAUAUACGUCGGUUGGAUGGCCAAUGACACUCUUUUGCAUUCGGGAUACUCCAUCCAACCUAACAGCAAUAAGGAAAACGGCUCUAACUCGGUAACCAGCAAGUUGAGGAUCAGCGCAGAAGAUUGGGAGAAGGGAACCACCUAUAGCUGUUUGGUUGGACAUCCGUCGCUAUCAACAAGUUUAGUCAGAAGUAUUAAUAAAUUCCACGGUAAACCUACUUUAGUUAACGUGUCACUCGUUCUAACUGACAGCUUUAAAUCGUGUGUCUAAUUAUCCGUGAAUUAAUUACUAAUAGUUUGGAAGUGUGUAUUGCUUACUGCGUAGCUGCUUGAGUUUCCGUUUUGCUGAUUUACUGAAGACCACGCAUAGCAUUCACUCUUCAGAUUAUCCCACCGUAAAUGAAAUAUUUCCUUAAUCUCAUCAGUUCGAUAACGUUGUGAUGAGCUCUAGAUAACAUUGGAAUGCUUUUAACUUUACGGUGAUUUUGAAAAUAUAGUACUUCGGAGAUGUUAGUAAGUCGCGGAAUAGAUAGCAGAGAGCAAUUUAUUCUGUAUGCUACAUUACAUUGAAAUAAAUUCG